UCACAUGUUCUAUGGGGUGCACCGAUG
rnacentral:piRNA from 1 species